rnacentral:rRNA from 1 species
ACUCCUACGGGAGGCAGCAGUAGGAAUUUUUCGCAAUGGACGCAAGUCUGACGAAGCAAUGCGCGUGGAGGAUGUAGUUUCGGAUUGUAAACCUCUGUUAUAAGGGAAGAAAACCUGAUAUAGGAAAUGAUAUCAGCUUGACGGUACCUUAUCAGAAAGGGACGGCUAACUACGUGCCAGCAGCCGCGGUAAUACGUAGGUCCCGAGCGUUAUCCGGAAUUAUUGGGCGUAAAGAGCAUGUAGGCGGUUUAUUAAGUCUGGUGUGAAAGCUAGUGGCUCAACCACUAAAUUGCAUUGGAUACUGGUAAACUAGAAUACUGGAGGGGCAAGUGGAAUUCCAUGUGUAGCGGUGGAAUGCGUAGAUAUAUGGAGGAACACCAAUGGCGAAGGCAGCUUGCUGGACAGUAAUUGACGCUGAGAUGCGAAAGNGGUGGGUAGCAAACAGGAUUAGAUACCCUGG